AGCCUUGUAUUCACUUUGUGAUUGUAGAAUGCAAUUCUAUAGGGGUAGGCUAAGCCUACCAAGGCCU
rnacentral:tRNA from 1 species